CAGUAUUCAGCUGUCAGAGGUGAAAUUCUUGGAUUUGCUGAAGACUAACUACUGCGAAAGCAUUCGCCAAGGAUGUUUUCAUUAAUCAGGGAACGAAAGUUAGGGGAUCGAAGACGAUCAGAUACCGUCGUAGUCUUAACCAUAAACUAUGCCGACUAGGGAUCGGGCGGCGUUUCUUUUAUGACCCGCUCGGCACCUUACGAGAAAUCAAAGUUUUUGGGUUCUGGGGGGAGUAUGGUCGCAAGGCUGAAACUUAAAGAAAUUGACGGAAGGGCACCACAAGGCGUGGAGCCUGCGGCUUAAU
rnacentral:rRNA from 1 species